rnacentral:rRNA from 1 species
GAUGAACGCUGGCGGCGUGCCUAAUACAUGCAAGUCGAGCGAACAGACGAGGAGCUUGCUCCUCUGACGUUAGCGGCGGACGGGUGAGUAACACGUGGAUAACCUACCUAUAAGACUGGGAUAACUUCGGGAAACCGGAGCUAAUACCAGAUCAUAUAUUGAACCGCAUGGUUCAAUAGUGAAAGACGGUUUUGCUGUCACUUAUAGAUGGAUCCGCGCCGCAUUAGCUAGUUGGUAAGGUAACGGCUUACCAAGGCAACGAUGCGUAGCCGACCUGAGAGGGUGAUCAGCCACACUGGAACUGAGACACGGUCCAGACUCCUACGGGAGGCAGCAGUAGGGAAUCUUCCGCAAUGGGCGAAAGCCUGACGGAGCAACGCCGCGUGAGUGAUGAAGGUCUUCGGAUCGUAAAGCUCUGUUAUUAGGGAAGAAAAAAUGUGUAAGUAACUAUGCACGUCUUGACGGUACCUAAUCAGAAAGCCACGGCUAACUACGUG